ensembl:lncRNA
UGGAAUAUCAUGUUGAUACAAACAAGGCAAAGGAAAACAUGCAAUUACAAACCAAGAGACUAGGAUCCAAUAGGGGGCCUUUCUCCCUCUAGACGCCAACUUUCCGGUGGCUGAUUGACGAGAAAAGAAGGGAUGACUUGACUCAAUGCAGCGUAACCAGGGUAAUCUUCCAGCUCACUGCUUUGGAGGGAUGCUGGCUGGAGGAUGGCCAUGAAAGAUCUAGAGAAGCUGACAAGUGAAAUCCAUUGGGGCCUAUGUGAUGUUAUCCAAGCCCUUCGCAGUGUUCCUUUUGAACUUGUGCUUCUGAAAGGUUGCAGGAGCAGCAGGUCCAGCCAAAGCUGACACACACCUACGGUUUUAAUCAUGUGACACAUGAGUGGAC